rnacentral:rRNA from 1 species
CUCGUCUGAUCUUGGAAGCUAAGCAGGGCUAGGCCUGGUUAGAACUUGGAUGGGAGACC